rnacentral:rRNA from 1 species
UUGUAAUUGGAAUGAUAGAAAUUUAAACCCUUUUUAAAGUAUCAAUUGGAGGGCAAGUCUGGUGCCAGCAGCCGCGGUAAUUCCAGCUCCAAUAGCGUAUAUUAAAAUUGUUGCAGUUAAAAAGCUCGUAGUUGAAGUUCUGCUUAAAGUAACCGGUCUGCUUUUAAUAAAGGUGGUAUCUUGGUGUGUAUUUAGCAAUGAUGUCCUUUGAAGUGUUUUUUACUUUAUUGUAAUAAAGCAUAUUCAGGACUUUUACUUUGAGAAAAUUAGAGUGUUUCUAGCAGGCUAACGCUUUGAAUACUGCAGCAUGGAAUAAUAAGAUAGGAUUUUAGUUCUACAUUAUUGGUUUUAAGAGCUAAAUUAAUGAUUGAUAGGGACAGUUGGGGGCAUUUGUAUUUAACUGUCAGAGGUGAAAUUCUUAGAUUUGUUAAAGACAAACUACUGCGAAAGCAUUUGCCAAAGAUGUUUUCAUUAAUCAAGAACGAAAGUUAGGGGAUCGAAGACGAUCAGAUACCGUCGUAGUCUUAACUAUAAACUAUGCCGA